UAAUACAGAGGUCUCGAGCGUUAGUCGGAGUCACUGGGCUUAAAGCGUACGUAGGCGGAUUUGCAGGCGUCGUGUGAAAUACCUCAGCUCAACUGAGGAACUGCACGGCGAACCGCAAGUCUUGAGACAGGUAGGGGCGGUCGGAACGAUAGGUGGAGUGGUGAAAUGCGUUGAUAUCUAUCGGAAUGCCGAAGGUGAAAACAGACCGCUGGGCCUGUUCUGACGCUGAGGUACGAAAGCGUGGGGAGCGAACGGGAUUAGAUACCCCGGUAGUCCACGCCGUAAACGAUGUGCACGUGAUCGAGGAGAUUUUGACAUCGCUCUCGGUCGAAGUAAAAACGAUGAGUGCACCGCCUGGGGAGUACGGUCGCAAGGCUA
rnacentral:rRNA from 1 species